CUUCCUGCGCCGCGGAAAAGUAAGCCUCGCGACAAAGGGGCGGUCCCUGCCGCUGCAGCCAAGAGCCCCGCGGGCCUCUGGGCGCGUGCAGAGCGCCCCGCUCCGGGGUAGCUCGCGCCGGUCGAGGGCGCCCGAGGGGCCGCUCCUGAGCGCGGCUGGUCGGCUUGGCGAGCCGGGAUCAGGAAGAUGAUUGAGUUGUUUGGGCCAGGAAUCUUGUGGGAACAGAGCAAUGGGCUUCCCUAACCUGGUUUGGACAGAUAAAUGAGUUUCCAAUAUACGUUUGGAUAGAUAACAUGAGAAUCUAUAUAAAUGGUACGUUGCUGGAAAAAUGAACUUUUGAGCUCCUGAAGAAUUGGUAGGACGAGUGAAUGAAGAAAUGAAGGAACAAAUGGAUGAGAUCCAGGUUCCCUUUCCAAGGUCACCAUGUCUGCAGCUGAGACUGUGAUGUGGAUUGCGCAGUGGAGAAUGAAGCCCCUGUCUGCUCAAGCCCCGUUUCCCCCACCCAGAACUGUCUGCUGGC